rnacentral:rRNA from 1 species
CUACGGAGGGGGCUAGCGUUGUUCGGAAUUACUGGGCGUAAAGCGUACGUAGGCGGACUGAUCAGUUGGGGGUGAAAUCCCAGGGCUUAACCCUGGAACUGCCUUCAAUACUGUCAGUCUUGAGAUUGGAAGAGGUGAGUGGAAUUCCUAGUGUAGAGGUGAAAUUCAUAGAUAUUAGGAGGAACACCAGUGGCGAAGGCGGCUCACUGGUCCAAUACUGACGCUGAGGUACAAAAGCGUGGGGAGCAAACAGGAUUAGAUACCCUAGUAGUCC